rnacentral:rRNA from 1 species
AAUAGACUUUUUUAAUAGAAAAAUUGAAUUUUACAUUUUAAUUAAAAGGUUAAAAUAUUUUUAAAAGACGAGAAGACCCUAUAGAGUUUUAUAAUUUAUAUUUAAUACAAAAAAAAAUUAAUAAAUAUUUUUAUUUAAAUAAUUAUUUUGUUGGGGCGACGAUAAAAUUUAAUAAACUUUUAUUUUUUUUUACAUUAAUAUAUGGGGGGCUGAUCCGCUAUUGGCGAUUAAAAAUUUAAAUUACCUUAGGGAUAACAGCGUAAUUUUUUUUUUAAGUUCAUAUUAAUAAAAAAUUUUGCGACCUCSAUKUUGGAU